rnacentral:pre_miRNA from 1 species
AUAAUACUCCCUCCGUCCGGAAUUACUUGUCAUCAAAAUGGAUGUGUCUAGAACUAAAAUACAUCUAAAUACAUCCAUUUCAAUGACAAGUAUUUUCGGGCGGAGGGAGUAGUAG